CACGUAGGGGCGAGCGUUGUCCGGAAUUACUGGGCGUAAAGCGCGCGCAGGCGGUCCUUUAAGUCUGAUGUGAAAGCCCACGGCUUAACCGUGGAGGAUCAUUGGAAACUGAGGGACUUGAGUACAGAAGAGGAGAGUGGAAUUCCACGUGUAGCGGUGAAAUGCGUAGAGAUGUGGAGGAACACCAGUGGCGAAGGCGACUCUCUGGUCUGUAACUGACGCUGAGGUGCGAAAGCGUGGGUAGCAAACAGGAUUAGAUACCCGCGUA
rnacentral:rRNA from 1 species